rnacentral:tRNA from 1 species
GGAGGGAUCGCAUAGUGGCCUAGUGCGGGCGCCUGCUAAGCGCUUACCCUGUUAAUACGGGGUCGAGGGUUCGAAUCCCUCUCCCUCCG